rnacentral:lncRNA from 10 species
AGAGAGAUCACUCCUUUCUGCGGAAAGCAGUUAUUGGGGAAGGACGCUGCUGUGAGCCAGGCAUCACUCCCAGCACCUGGGGAAACUAGGGCUUUGGUUCUAAAGGAGCGAAUUCACUACAGCGAAUUGACACAUUUAUUUACCGUUGUGUUUUUAGGACAUGAUAUCUGUUGAGCUUCUAUUUGACCUUUGAAAAUUGUUUCUUUCCCCACUAACCUAACUAAAACAUAAGCACCAUGGACAUGGACUUCUGUUUUGUUUGCUGAUGUAUCCCUAGUGCCUGGAACUAAGCCUGAUUAUAUGCUAGAUGUUCAUAUAAAAUCUGUUGAAUGAGCAAAUGGAUCCUCCAAGGAGAAAAUUGGGACAGAAAUAUCCACUUGAGAAAGAGCAGAUGGAUCUCGAAGCCCCAACUCCUAGCCCCAGAUUCUUUUUUCUCUUGUGGAUCUACUAAGCACAGCUGCCAUGACAUUGAAGGUUCCAGGUUAUGCCACUUUCCGCUUACCUUUCUGGCUCAGGUGUGCCACAGGCCUUUCCUGUAAGGCUCACAGCUAAAUGAAAAAAGGUUGUCCAGAUAUCAUUCAAGGUUCAAGGUUAACAGAUCAGAGUUACAGCAGAGGAGAUAAUUUGUAAUUAACUUCCUAGGUUGUCUCUGAAACAUGCUCACUGGCCCUUGCCCAGACAACAUUGGCUGACAUUCAUCUACUUCCUUGCUAAUGGAACUGCUUUGGUUCCAGAGAUGUGGCUAUUAUCUCAGGAUAAGGCAGGGAUGGACCUUAAUUAUUCUAUUCCAGUCACAGUACUGGCAUUCUCCUUGCCAAUGACUGAUUCAGAAAUAGGAACAUGAUGCGGGCCCAUGAGAGGUGAGAGGCAAGUCAAUUGAAGCAGCUGCCAGGAGGGUUCCCAGGCUUUUCAAAAGUGUACAAGGAGGUCGCACUCUCCUCCCCACACACCGCCCCCUGCUCCUGCUUUGGAACAUUGGAUGUUUUGUUUGAGGAUGCGACUCUUGGAAGUGCAAGGCCAUAUUGUGUUCAUAAGGGGACAAAGCCAGGGGACAAAGCCAAGGAUCUAAGCCAACGUUGUGAGGAUGGCAGAAGGGAACGCCAGCGAGAAACUCUGUCCUUGAUUACAUUGUUGUUCACUCAUUCAUUCCACCCUUGAAUCGGCUUAUUGCCAAGCUCCUUACAAUGUGAAAUAAUACAUUUUCUUAAUCAUUUGAGACAUUUUGAGUUGAAGUUUUCUUUUAGGUGAAGCCAAAAUCAUUCUCAUGGACAGAAAACCCUCUAGCUCUACCCCAUUUGGCUACCAUUUUCUAAUAAGUCGAGAUAUUAUUCCCUUAGUCAUGUUAAUAUUCACUGAAAAUGCCAGCUAAAAAGAUGGAUUCCCAAGCGUGUGUGUGGGAGGGUCCCUUCCAGAUUCAAACUUUCCUCUCCUACAAUCUGUUCUCAGGAAGUUGCCAAACCCUGUGGCACCAACCAAGCAGCUGGGGCAUACAACCAAAUUCCCUGUCUGCACAGAAGGUCCCACUUACUUUUUUUUUUUUUUUUUUCCUGGGUGUUUAACACGUUGUUUUUGGUGUUUAACAAGUGGUAGCCUGAACAUAGCUGAAGGAAAGUUUCCGAUUCCUGGAGUCUGGAAGCAGGUAUCCUACCCAGGAAAGCGAUAUGGGUCCCUUUUGGACUAAUAGCUGUUUACUUCUCAAGUCCAGAGUCUGCAUUGAGGACAGCAGGUUUUUCUUUGAGUUAUAUAAGCCAUUUAAACCUCACAUUCAAGGGCACCAUAUAAAAUGAAACAGGAGUCUUCGAUAUAUAAUUUUUCCUCAUAAAAUAGCCUCUAGAGGAAAAAGCAGCUGAAAAAUUUGAGGGGCCUGAUUUGUGGCUGCGUCAUCCACGUGAACUUGUCCUUAUGGAAAGGCUUUGCGUUUAUGUGAAGUGUGCUGCAAAGUCUCCCAGCAUUUCUAAAUCUCUGCAUGUGCUAUACAUAUAUGACUAAUUUGGAAAACUACAUUUAAGUCCUAGGUAGUGGGGAGGCUAAAGCAACUCCAUCUUGGAUGUUAAUCUGCCAUGCUGACUUCUUCUUAUUUUUUAAUAUUUUAGAGAUUGGGUCUCCCUGUGUUGUCCAGGCUAGUCUCAAACUCCUGGGCUUAAGUGAUCCUCCCACCUCGGCCUCCCAAGAUGCUGGGAUUACAGGCGUCAGCCACCUUGCCCUGCCUCACCAUGUUGACUUCUGAUUAACCUCAGUUCCAGGAAUGCCUCUAAGAUUUCUAUUCUAUCCCUUGUUCCUCGUGCAACAGCAUGUACUACUUAUUGUAAUUCCUGCCCUUAGGUCAAAACAACUUUGACGUUAGUGUAUGUACCAUAAAUUUAGCCCUUAAGCAAUUGCUGUACAUAUCCCUUUCCCUAUAGUAUAUAAGCCCUGAGUCUCGGGGAUAGUGAGGCAGAUCGUCGUAUCUCACCGCUGCCCAAGUCUAUGGCUGCUAUUCAUAAGUCUCUAUUAAAUGUUUAUUUCUCAUAAACUAGACUUGUCAUUCUCUUUUUCCAGCCUCUCAGCUUCCUUUAACUUUGGGACCUGCUUACCACAGAACAAAUAGAAAAUGCAAAUAAUUAAGAGAGUACAAAUCAGGGUGUAGCUGCAUUAAGGAUCUCAUCC